GGGGCUUCAGUGAGAGUUCAUCAUUUAUAAUUUGCUGCUUUUGAGGCUAGUGAAAAAUAUUCAACAUGUUGUGCGAGAGAUUUGGAAACAACAGUUAUCACUUAUCACAUGCCAUCAGUUCUUGCUCGAUCCUUAUCUAUAUGAAAUAAAGCGUGCGUCUAUACCGAUAAGUAGAUAUUGAUUGAUCUCAACUAAUCAAGGGGAAAAUGUUUGAUAUUUUGGUCAAUUCAAAAUAUCAUAAUAAAAAUACCCCCGUACCCUGACAACUUAAAAAAAGUGAAAAGAAGAAAGGAAUGUUGAGGCUAGGAAUGAAGUGCAAAGAGAAAACUGGAGAAAUAAAACUCACAUGCAGACAUCCACUAAUCAAACAAAUCAAAUGCUCAAAAAACAAAAUCAGAGAACAUAGCUUACCAAUUAAUACAAUCGCAGCACACCAGAUUGAUCGGCAAAGGACUGUCAAUCCAACUAAAGAAGAUACUAUCAUGUGACAGAAGCAUUAUUCAAAGUUCAAACUUGCCGCAAUUAUUACUCCCACCGUUCCAGUUUAUGUAAACCUAGCUAUUUCCUUUUUGGUCCGUUCCAAAAAGAAUGACCCCUUUCUAAAUUUGGAAACAAUUUAGCUUAAACUUCCAAUUCUACCCUUAAUGAGAAGCUUUUAUAACCACACAAAUACUCUGGUCCCCAUUUUGACUUGUUUAGGACCACAAAUUCUAAAAAAGUCAUCAUUUUUUCUUAAACUCCGUGAUCAGUCAAACAUGUUCACAUAAAUUGGAACAGAGGGAGUAUUAUUGAAAAAAAUGGAAGGGAAGGAAAAGAUAAAGCUGUAAUUUUGAUUACUUUUGCUCCACGCGUAUAGUAGUCACCGGAACAUCUAUGUACAAGAUAAAAAGUCAUAAGCAAGCUGCGGUAAGGACUUUAUUUUCCUGCAAAACAAUUGUUGAUGUAUAGAAAAACAUGUUACUAAUUUAUAUGAGGGAAUCAAUUAGGAUAUUUGCGAACGAACAUUUAAACUUGUUGCUAAAUUUUUAUGUUUGAGUAGCUUAGUAACUUUUAUUCUCUGUGUAAAAGCAUAGGAGUUAGCAGGACUUCAGAAUAUGCAAGCAUUUGAACUAUCUCGGAGGAGUUGAUUGAAAUAUUUCAAGAAUUUCUCAAGGAUUAAUCUUCAUUUCCUGCACAUACUCUAGUCCCUCUCGAGAUAGUAAUUCUGGGGUUUUCACAUUAUAAAAUGACAUAAAGAUGAUCUCCGAAUGAUCUUCUUAGCUGCUACUUGAUUUUCAAAUGUAUCAACCAAAUCAGACAACCCAAUGAAUGAAAGCUCUUAAUCUUCAUUAUACUCCAGCAUAGAGCGAUAAUGUCUCAAAUUCUAGAGUAAUCUUAAUAUCUCGUUCUGAACACUUAUGUCAUUUGAGUAUCAAAUAAAUCUCAGUUGUAACCUAAAAGCAACAACCAUAAAUUCCAGCUUUGUUUCUUUGAUACUAUGUUGUAGAUUAGUUUUAUGGAGUUACAACCAACAAAUCAGAAGUAGAAAGAUUCAAAAAAUGACGAAGAAACAAUAAUAAUUCAACGAUGAUAGAUAAACAAAAUUGAUUGUCCUUGUAAUAUUGCAUAGAUCAGAGAGCUAUUGUUGAAAUGUGAGACCCGUUUGGCCAUAGAUCACUUUUGACACGGAACCAACCCCCAGAGGAAACAGAGGGACAACAACACAAAACUGCAGCACAUCCCUAUUUUUAUUUCUAAAGCAAGAAAGAACAACGACACUGCCACUCUUCAAUUAAUUUCUAAAUCAAUUCCCAAAUAGAAUUUCAGUGCACCUUUAUCAUCUCUCAACGCAAUUCUAAUGUGCAAAGUCGCCCAAACCUGUAGAAGUAAGAGGUUCUUACUCCCAUGUAGUCUAAAUACUUUUUUUCUUACUAUUUUCUUCAAUCCUUUAUCUUCUUUUUUAUAACAAGAAUAAGUACAACUAUAGAUUUGUUGCCUAACAUAAACUUUUCCUAAGCAUUCAUCCCACAAAUCAAAGUAGGCAAAUAACUUUAAGCUUUUCCUAAUCAUGUAUAUUCCAAUCAAUCAACCUCCAUUCCAUACAUCAUCCUAUUUCUUUGGAUGCUGUCAUAGCCAAAAAGAAGUGACAAAAUAAGACGGUAAACUUUCCUCUUCCAUUGUUAUCUUCGAGAAAUAGAGUAAGACAGUGGACACAUAGAAGGUUUGAAGAUGAAAUUUCAUAAAGAUACCCCACGCCCUAGAUCACUUUCAGCAUUCUAAAGAUGCCAAGUGAAUGUAGAAAUUUGAAAGUUCUAAAAGAUGGAUAUAUAUUCUUUGUUCCGAGUUGGCGAUUUUGGUGUUAUAGAUGUAGUUUAUUGUAAGGUCUGUAAUGUUAUUUGAAAAGUGUUCAUGACGGCUAGUAAGAUGAUAAAGCCCAUAAUACUGUAUGUAAUACCCGAAAGAAUUGUACUCUAGCUAGUUUGUUGAACAUACCAUCACAAUCUCGGUGUUGUUUGUAAUUAGAAAAUUUACCUUUUUAAUCAAAAGCAAUAUAAGGAGAAAAUAUGGUCAAAGUAUAGAAUCAGAUAUGCUGAGCACAUUUUUCCUGAAAUAAAAAGAACUCAAUUUAGUAAAAAUUUUGAUUCAUAUCUUCUCAAGCUCAACCUGAGACUAUACUUUCCUAAAGUCGGAAUAGGAUCGUUCUCCACUUCACGAGAUUUUAAAAAGAACAACUUAAUUUUGUAAAUACUUCAUUAAUCAUUUUUCCCAAAUAAAGUUUUUAAACAUAUAAAAUCUCUAUAAGAAGACAAAAGUGAAAGAACACAAGUAUUUUUCUUGGCUGUACAUUAAAAAUAAAAAGAAUGCAUUUGAAACAUUAGUUUGCUAAUUUCAGUACUGUUGAAGAAGCCUUGUAAAACAUUAAAUUCGGAUAGCCUAACAUACAAUUAUUUCUUGUUAGCUAAGAAGUCCUUUAAAGUAUGCAUCAACUACCGUCAACAGUCAGAUAAAUAUUACUUCUCAUUUAAUUCUAUCCUCUCAUGUCUACAGCAGUUUAGAAAAUCCACAAAAUUGUUUAGAUCCUGGGGCCAUCUUACAAUUACACCAAGAAUACACAAACUGCAAUGACUUGAAUUGAAUACAUGCUAAGGCCCAAUAAGUAUUUUGAAAAAAACUAUAGUUUCUUUCCACAUUGUGCAAAAAAAGCACGAAGGAACUUAUUACUGGAUGUCUUUGUGAAUGUAAUAGAAAAUCUCAUGAAUUAAGCAUAAAAAACCUUUUGUUCUUGGGGAUAAUUGCAUUUUUAAUGAGUUACUAAUAUUGAAAAGGGGAAGUAAGUAAAAGUAAACCAAAAUGUGCAGAACUUACCUGGUACAAGUGAAGCAAUAUUCCUUUCCCCACUUUCAGUUAACAACUUCCUUUAAGAAAAAUCUGAAAAAUCAAUAUUUUGGGACCAUUAUAUUCCUACUAAAUGAAUACAAAAAUAUUCGGUAAUAUCAAAAGUUCAUAUUUCAAACAAAACCCAAGUAAGCGAUACACUAUUCAGUUUAAUAGAGUCUCGUCAAAAAAUAAUAAAAUAGGAGUAAUAAUUUUGAAAAAGAAGAAGAUAAACCCAAUUAAAGAACAUUGUGUGAGAAAAAUAUUGUGCAUGAGUAAAUCAAACAUAUCUACUGACAUGUAUGUAUAACAUUCAAUAAAAUACUGCCCAAAAGUUCAAGAUGCCCAAAAAAUUAUAUUAAAAACAGGAUCCAAACACAUGCAUAGCCGAGAAAACAGAGGAAGAUGCAAAGAAGGUGUCCAAUUCCCUGCUUCUUAGUAGGAGAAACUGAUAGAUAAGUCACCAAAGAAACCCCAAAUUUUCCAUCUUUCAAUUUUCUUUUUCAAACUUUCAGUUCAUACACUUUGAAAACCUAAAUAGACACAAUUCAAUAAUGUAGCCACAUAAGACUCACCAAUCCUUGUAACAUUAAAAAAAUUAGAAAUGGUAAAAGAUAAAAGAUAAAAGAUAUUCUCCAUCUUCAUAAUAGCCAAAGGUAACACAUAAAUAUUAAAAAAAUGAACCCAGAUGGGACUAAAUCUAAAAACUGAGCAAAAUAUUAACAGGG
rnacentral:lncRNA from 1 species